UGGGGAAUAUUGCACAAUGGGCGCAAGCCUGAUGCAGCCAUGCCGCGUGUGUGAAGAAGGCCUUCGGGUUGUAAAGCACUUUCAGCGAGGAGGAAGGUGGUGAGCUUAAUACGCUCAUCAAUUGACGUUACUCGCAGAAGAAGCACCGGCUAACUCCGUGCCAGCAGCCGCGGUAAUACGGAGGGUGCAAGCGUUAAUCGGAAUUACUGGGCGUAAAGCGCACGCAGGCGGUUUGUUAAGUCAGAUGUGAAAUCCCCGGGCUCAACCUGGGAACUGCAUUUGAAACUGGCAAGCUAGAGUCUCGUAGAGGGGGGUAGAAUUCCAGGUGUAGCGGUGAAAUGCGUAGAGAUCUGGAGGAAUACCGGUGGCGAAGGCGGCCCCCUGGACGAAGACUGACGCUCAGGUGCGAAAAGCGUGGGGCAGCAAACAGGAUUAGAUACCCUGGUAGUCCAGCGCUGUAAACGAUGUCGAUUUUGGAGGUUGUGCCCUUGAGGCGUGGCUUCCGGAGCUAACGCGUUAAAGUCGACCGCCUGGGGAGUACGGCCGCAAGGUUAAAACUCAAAGGAAUUGAC
rnacentral:rRNA from 1 species